AUUGAACGCUGGCGGCAGGCCUAACACAUGCAAGUCGAGCGGAUGAAGGGAGCUUGCUCCUGGAUUCAGCGGCGGACGGGUGAGUAAUGCCUAGGAAUCUGCCUGGUAGUGGGGGAUAACGUCCGGAAACGGGCGCUAAUACCGCAUACGUCCUGAGGGAGAAAGUGGGGGAUCUUCGGACCUCACGCUAUCAGAUGAGCCUAGGUCGGAUUAGCUAGUUGGUGGGGUAAAGGCCUACCAAGGCGACGAUCCGUAACUGGUCUGAGAGGAUGAUCAGUCACACUGGAACUGAGACACGGUCCAGACCCCUACGGGAGGCAGCAGUGGGGAAUAUUGGACAAUGGGCGAAAGCCUGAUCCAGCCAUGCCGCGUGUGCGAAGAAGGUCUUCGGAUUGUAAAGCACUUUAAGUUGGGAGGAAGGGCAGUAAGUUAAUACCUUGCUGUUUUGACGUUACCAACAGAAUAAGCACCGGCUAACUUCGUG
rnacentral:rRNA from 1 species